AGAAAAAAAUAUUCAGCUGACUUAAAAUGCUCCAAUUCCCAACCAUCCCCAAGGGUUGAAGGAUGGUGUUUAAACUCAAGUGUGAAUCAGCUUCUCUAUGUGGUUAGAGAGGAAAGAAAAUGUCAGGGAGUGAAUUCAAACUGUUCUCAGAUCAUCAAGAGGAGAGAGCUCACUUCUGGCUCCAAAGCCUUUCUUCAAGCUUCAGAAAUGCUUAGACAUUUGGACUUUUAUGAAAACUCCUCUUGCUACAUUAACUCCAAGAAAUCUGAAGGAGCUUAUGAGUUCUGGACAUGGGAAAAUGAAGACUGGUUACAGGACUGAAGUGGGUCCACCAUCUGCUCUCCACUGUUGCCAUAUUCAUGAGGGAAUAUGAACAACCAGUGUUAAUAAAAUGCAGGUUGUGCUGAAUAAUAGACUAAACACAGAGAGUUACCAUUGAAGUGAAGGAUACGUUGGCAGGGGCAGAAGGCAUUCAGAGACUCCCAGGUAUGAAAGCCACACUGAGGGGAGACCACAACUUCUUUAGUGAGGAUAAACUCCGCACCUCUGCUAGUUGUCCAUUUGACUUCGAGCCAAAUGCUGAAGUCUAUUUUUUUCUUCUACUUUAAAGUUAAAAAAAAUUAAACCAUAAAACAGAUUGUGAAAAAACCAGAAAAGUAUAAUAAUACACAUGUGUGUGAAUUUAUUAAUAUUUUGUCAUUUGUUAUCAGAUCUGUUAAAAAUAUUCUAAGUAUCAUGUAUCAUGACCCUUAUCCUAAAA